UGCCAACUGAGCCCUCUAGCUUGCCGUACGGAUUGUAUCAAUUAAUGGCGCAACACCAUGGGUGAAGUUGCACCCCCAGCUCCCCGAGUGGGCUUGUGGCAAAUGCAGGGAAGGAGCCAUGAAUAUUGCAAACGAAUAGAUGAAUUGUUCGAACAUUUUCGCAAGACAAGUGCUUAAUUUUGUCAAGACUACAGAGAAGCAGCUUUCUUGUUGCUUUAAUAACAGAUCAUUCCAGGCAUAACAGAACGUAAGAUGUUUUCUUCUUAGAACACAAUUACGUCAGCAGCAGAAGUCGCUCCAAUAAUCAAAAACUUAUUAUUAACCAAAUGGAAGGACUGGAUAGAAGUAUCCUAAAGUUAAAUAUUAAUGAGUUUGCUGCAAUAGGGGCUGGAACAAAGGAUCAAUCCCAGCAUGGUCAAAGAACUUUAAAUCAACAAUUAGACUCCUAGCAAGGGAAUGCCAAGGCCUGAAUUCCAGAAGGCAAGAAUCUUUAUUCCCACUGAAGAUAUUGACUUGCACUUGUUCACUUGGAUCCAUCUUGGUUCGCAGUCUACGCUGAACUUCAAGAGCAUUGGGGAUUGGUCAGCGGUGGUCUUACUAAAUAAUGCAAGGGAGAGAUAAACAGUUGUGCAGAAGCUGGACCCUCAUACCCUGACAGCUGAGGAGGAACAAGAAUAAAAUUUCUAAUUUUUGUCUGGUUAACCAUGAAUCUCAGAUCCCAUGAUCCAUUGUCCUGGAAGUGGUGUGCUGCCAUUGAGAAACCUGAAAUUUAUCACCAAAGCAGUUUUUCAGUUGGAACUUGAUGCUAAACGGCAAGUGGUAACACACAGGAUUGGAAGUAUGGAGUGUUAUUUCCUAUGUGGAGCAACAUUUGAGGAAUGAUUUUUCUGUCACUUCCAGGAAAAGGAAUUCAUCCUUCAUCAUUAAUCUCCUGUUCUGAUGAAAGCUCGUCAAAAUGAAACUUAUUUGGCUUUUCUCCCUGCUGCACGAACUGACGUGUACCUCCAGCAAUGCUGAAGGCCUCACAACUUAUUUUGAGUACAUUCAAGCCAAUGCAAUUGCCUUGUUGUACUUGUUGACCACUAUAACAUGGUAGCACUAUAAUAAACUCAACCACUGUAAGAAGAUAGUCCUUCUCUGUUCCAACCUUUGCUCCAGUUGCUUCCAGCUCCACUCUGACCUAGUUUAAUUUAAACUCCAGUCAAUAUCAUGCGUAAGUCUAUUGCAAGUAGUGCUUUACAGUGUUAAUGAAUUGAACCAGAGUGAUGGUUAAAACCAGGGUGAAGAAUGCAAACUAGCCUCACUGAGAAGAGCUCAGUUGGACUUCAUCGCUGGAAGAGAAGAACAGCCUGAUGUCUUCAUUCAAGAAACUACUCACACACAACUCAGAAAGACCUAGAAGGGUUUAGGUACAACACAGAUAAUACAACCUUAACAAAGUAUUGCUUAUUUACAUUCAGUACACCUCAGCAUAAUGUAAACUACUAUUUAUUACAGCUAUUUCUGCUUGUAACAAAGAGCACUUAAUACGCUAUAAAUUGUAUCUUUAAAGGUGACAUGAAUCUAACUGGAUAAUGGUUUGUGGUUUAAGGCCGAUGUAAGCAAAUUGCUAUUUUAAAUAAAAAUAUUUUAAGUGGUGCGCACAUAGAAGCAUAGGAAGAAGAGUGAGGUAUUCAGUCCCAUUUUAGUGUAUUGUUUUUCUAGUCUUCUUAAAGUGAAUAACCUCACAUUGUCCCACAUUAUGCUCCAUCUCCCACUCUCUUUCCCAUUAACUUAAAUUGGCUUUUCCCUUACCAGACCCUGCAUCCACCUCACAGCUGAAUUUCACACCCAGUUUUGCCUCCAAUAAACCUGGAUACAUUACACUCCUGAUGAAGCAUCUCAACCUGAAAUGUCAACUGUUUAUUUCCCUCCGUAGAUGCUGCCUGACCUGCUGAGUUCCUCCAGCAUUUUGUGUGUGUUGCUCCAGAUUCCAGCGUCUGCAGAAUCUCUUGUGUCUACAUUACACACUGUCUUAUUUUCUUUAAUUAAUAUAUAUUACAAAUAAGUGAAGGUAAACACUAAUCUCUGUGGCACCUUGUUAAUAAUAUUCUGCCAACCUGUAAAUGACCUGUUUAUUCCUACUCUCUGUCUAAUCAGUUCUCUCUUUGUUAAUAUAUUACUCCCAUCCCUGUCAGCCCUUAUU